CGUCACUUCAGAGUUGCGCCAGGAUCAGUUAAGGAGAACAGUAUCAUGUACAAGACGGAGCGGCUGCCAUGAGUAGGCAAGCUUUUAUUACAUAGACACCUCAAGUGUCGACUAAGCCUAAGCGGCCAUGACGAUAGAUCGUCACCCGCCUCUAGUACGAGCCUUUUCGACCAACCAUGGAGGGCAUCUACUCUUCAUAGCCUUGAUUGUCGACUUCCUCAUAAUCAUACUCCACUUCUGUAUAACCGAAGUCGUUAAAAUGACCAGACUCAUCAUAAGUACCAUUCUCUAUCGCCUCGAAGUUCUCAUAACUCUCUUGCUCUGUAAAACAACAUAAGUGCAGCUGAGUACGUAUAAAAUACGUACUCCGCAAGUCGCCGGGAAAAGUGGAUGUAUGAGUUUUUAAAGAGGAAAAACUUCAUCGGCCACGGCUACCACCACCGAGCCAUUAUCUCAAAAUACUAUGUAGGUAAAAAUAUUUUCCCUUAACCCAUUUUGUUGAAAACCAAAUUUUAUCCAUAAAAUCUACUGACGACAGAGCGACGUGGGAUCUUAUAUCGUGUGUUAGAGGAAAACCCACACGACGCACUUCCAAUCCCGGAAGCUGGGAGUGAUAUCACAUUUACUCUGAUCAGAGGUGUACUGCUUUGCCCAUAGCAUCACUUGGUAGAAGUCGUCCAUGCGCUACCCGUGCGCACGACUAGACCAAGGAACCAGAACCUUUAACCAACCCGUACACUACCUCUGCUUUUCCACCUUGCCUUACUAAAGGCCCGCGGGUCGAGACCCCUGACCGGCGGUCCCGCCCUAGGGUGACUGUACCUACCCGGCUACAGCCACCUUCUCACCCAUGCAGAGGCAGCUACUUGGCAUGGGUAGUCGGUUCAGCCCGUCCCAUUCCAGGUCUAUGGUCAGUACGAUUUGCGCCACUUUUGAAGUAAGCGCCAGUUGGUUGUGUCCUAAUGUGAUACCCUAUGUAGAGGAGCCCGCCAUCCAAGCCAACCCUACCCGGGUUGCCUUCACCAACAUAAGCUCCCCUACCCACCAAAUAUUUAUUUAUAAUGUAGCCCUGCCCAGGUCACAACUACUUAAUACAGAUACUUCACCUGAUCUGGUCCAAUUGCCAAAUUAGUGGAUCCACCUGAUCCAAAUCUCAUUUCAUUUAUGAAAAAUAUUUAUUUUUAAUUCUUAUGCAAAAUUUUAGAAAUGACCCAUAGCCCGGAAAACAUUUAUCAAGACAUGGUCAAGGAGAUGACGACUUGCCGGAUAGUGCUUCGAUCAACUCGGAACCACCAGACGUGGCUCCUACGGGUCCAAGAUCGACUCCUGAUAAUUAUUUCAGGAACAUGUUUAUAUUAUUAUUAUUUAUUUUCCUAAUUAAAAAUCUAACAUCCAGCAACACGGCCAUGUUGAGCAAGCCACAUGUAAUUAACUAAGUGGUGAUACGUCCUAGUGUUCCAUUGAGAGAUAAAAUGCAUUAAGCCAUCCAAAACAGAGUAGCAUGCACGUAUGUCAUCCAGUCCAGAGAGUGGUAAAAGAAAUGAUAAGUAAAAAGAACAGUAGCCCAGUACUGUACUACUAGUACUUCGCUGGUUAAGGCCCGUGUCUAUCCAGAAAGACUACUUAACUUCUUGUUGUCCCACGAACAGAACCAGCCCACUCACCUCUCUCUCUCUCCCCCAAGAACAGAGCACGGCCGCCGUCGCCUCGAUCUGCCCCGUCCGGGCAUCUCCGGCGACACGGCAGAUACCUACAGAUUCUCCUCGUCUCCCUCUAUCAUAUCCCCCUAUUUAUUUGAUCCGCCGCCGCCAAAAACGUCGCCACCACUCAAUCCUAGCGCCCCCUGAUCCAGGUCCGGUGGGCUUGCCACCGGCUGCAGCGGCAACGACGUCUCCAUGCCUACAUCUUCCUCCAGAAGAGCUGCACGCAUGAGGCGUGCAACUACGGCCGUCAGGUGCGAGCGGCUUCACCGGCGCGGCUCCGGCAACAUGGCCGCUACCAGCGCCCGGCUCGCCUUUGUCUACUGCUACUAGUCAAGGUAACUAGAGUCCAGAAGAUUAGGUGUUCAUGUUCUAAGCAAAGGUAAAGAUGGAUCAAGGUGCCAAGCAUCAAGCAAACAGAGCUGCAAAAGCAAGGUACUUGAAUAGUACCUGAUCGCAACUCGGCAUUCGACCAAAAGAGUGGAUGGGGAUGGUGGGAAGAGCUUGGUUCUCUCUCUUGUGCGUGUUGUGUGCAGUAGAGGAAGUGAAAGGUGAAAGGUGCAGGCUGCUAUUUAUAGUAGUGGAGGAUGCUAUGUCGGUUUGGUAAAAUGGAGCAGGUGGCUGGCAUGCAUGGUUGCAUGCGCAUGCAAGGCUCCACUUGUAAUCAUGUGAGCUGUAGAAUGGACAAGUGUGUAGUGCUUGGUUGGACAUUAGUUGGCAUUUUCUUCAUGCCUAAGUAUAUGGCCUAUUAGUUGUUUGUAAAAUUUUAAUUUUACAUUGGGCUCAAGAAACAUUGUAAAAAGCUCAUCAAAGAUUGGUUGUGAUCCAAAUUAAGAUCAA